AACUUGGAGGCAGAGACCCAAGCAGCUGGAGGCUCUGUGUGUGGUCGCUGAUUUCUUGGAGCCUGAAAAGAAGGUAACUGGGCAUAUGAGGGACAGAUGGAGUGAGUCAGUGGAGCAGCGACUGGACCCAGAGCCAUGUGGCUGUGCCCUCUGGCCCUCACCCUCAUCUUGAUGGCAGCCUCUGGUGCUGCGUGCGAAGUGAAG
rnacentral:lncRNA from 1 species